rnacentral:rRNA from 1 species
UGGGGAAUUUUGGACAAUGGGCGAAAGCCUGAUCCAGCAAUGCCGCGUGUGUGAAGAAGGCCUUCGGGUUGUAAAGCACUUUUGUCCGGAAAGAAAUCCUUGGCUCUAAUACAGUCGGGGGAUGACGGUACCGGAAGAAUAAGCACCGGCUAACUACGUGCCAGCAGCCGCGGUAAUACGUAGGGUGCAAGCGUUAAUCGGAAUUACUGGGCGUAAAGCGUGCGCAGGCGGUUUGCUAAGACCGAUGUGAAAUCCCCGGGCUCAACCUGGGAACUGCAUUGGUGACUGGCAGGCUAGAGUAUGGCAGAGGGGGGUAGAAUUCCACGUGUAGCAGUGAAAUGCGUAGAGAUGUGGAGGAAUACCGAUGGCGAAGGCAGCCCCCUGGGCCAAUACUGACGCUCAUGCACGAAAGCGUGGGGAGCAAACAGGAUUAGAUACCCUGGUAGUCCACGCCCUAAACGAUGUCAACUAGUUGUUGGGGAUUCAUUUCCUUGGUAACGUAGCUAACGCGUGAAGUUGACCGCCUGGGGAGUACGGUCGCAAGAUUAAAACUUAAAUGAAUUGACGGGGUCAUAGCUGUUUCCU